AUUGAACGCUGGCGGCAGGCCUAACACAUGCAAGUCGAGCGGCAGCGGGAAAGUAGCUUGCUGCUUUUGCCGGCGAGCGGCGGACGGGUGAGUAAUGCCUGGGAAAUUGCCCAGUCGAGGGGGAUAACAGUUGGAAACGACUGCUAAUACCGCAUAAGCCCUACGGGGGAAAGCAGGGGACCUUCGGGCCUUGCGCGAGUGGAUAUGCCCAGCUGGGGUUAGCUGGUUGGUGAGGUAAUGGCUCCCCAAGGCGACGAUCCCUGGCUGGUCUUACAGUAUGAGCGGCCACACUGGGACUGAGGCACGGUCCAAACUCCUACGGGAGGCAGCAGUGGGGAAUAUUGCAGAAUGGGGGAAACCCUGAUGCAGCCAUGCCGCGUGUGUGAAGAAGGCCUGCGGGUUGUAAAGCACUUUCGGCGAGGAGGAAAGGUUGGUGCCUAAUACGUAUCAACUGUGACGUUACUCGCAGAAGAAGCACCGGCUAACUCCGUGCCAGCAGCCGCCGUAAUAC
rnacentral:rRNA from 1 species